rnacentral:lncRNA from 1 species
AUUAGGAUUAGAGAAGCAGCAGAACAGAGAAACACGUGAAAGGUGAAGGAGAGGAGAAAAGGUGGAGAAAACCUAGAAUUUGAUCUUCAAGAAGAAAAGGGUCAAGGAGGCUUUGUACCGGUGUCAUAGAAGGUAAGGGUUUGAAUUUACCUUGUAUAAUUGUAGAAUAACAGAGGUUGAGUUUAACAUGAAGGAACCCCCAUCUUCUUUGAAAAUUCAGAACUGAGAGACUGUGUUGAGUGUUAACAUGUGGUGAGCAAAAUUGAUUUUGAGCGAAAUUGAGGUUCCGGGGAAAAUUGGGUUCUGUUCUGUUUUGCCCGCAGAUACCCUAUUAGUCUGUGUUGUAGAGAGCAUAACUCUCUCUACAGAAUUCCAAAUUGAGUGAAACCAAUUUUGUAUGAAAGCUAACUCAUAGGGCUAUGUUGGGUAAUAUUUUCAUAAUUUUGCGAUUUCUGGUUCAAUACCAGAAUCAUUUGCAAGUUCAUUCUGUUUUUGCCCGCAGACACCCUAGCAGCCUGUGUUGUAGAGAGCAUAACUCUCUCUAAAGAAUUCCGAAUUGAGUGAAACUAAUUUUUUAUGAAAGCUAACUCAUAGGGUUAUAUUGGGUAAUAUUUUCAUAAUUUUUGGAUUGCUGGUUCAAUACCAGAAUUAUCUGCAAGUUCACUCUGUUUUGCUCGCAACCCUAACAACCUGUGCUGUAGAGAGCAUAACUCUCUCUACAGAAUUCCAAAUUGGGUGAAACAAAUUUUGUAUGAAAGCUAAAGUAUAAGGCUAUGUUUGGUAAAAUUUUCAUAAUUUUUGGAGUGCACGUUUAGUACCGGAAUUAUCUGCAAGUUUGCUAUGUUUCUGCUUAUUUCUGUGAUUGAUUCUGGAACUGGUUCUGGUAAUUGAUAUGAGACAUUUGAUGACUUUGUGUUGCUAGUUUAUCGGUGGAAUAGUGAAUGAUUUGAUAAUGAUAUUGAAGUGUUAUUUUGUGCAAUUUUGGUGUGAUUUCCGUUAUGGAAUUUGGUGAGAAAAUAUGUUAUAUAUUUGGGGCUGGAGUGGUCUCAAAUUGCAUGUUUUAAUUUAUGAGUUUUUGCACGAAAUACACUUCAUUUAGUCAAGAGGCAAAAUGUCGGUUUUCAUCGGAAAACUGAGGUUUGUCCCAGAACUGGCGUGGUUCUGGAAGUCUGGCGUUGACUUCAUUGGUGGUUAACUGUCUGGAGUGGACGCGGUGAUACCGCUAAGGUUAACAAUUGGUACCACAUGCAUACAUUAGAGUCUCACACACUAAGUUUCACGUUUUCAGUGGUUUUAUGUGUUUGGUGAUUUGUUGGUGAAUUGUUUUGCUGUUGUGGUAAAGUCGAAUUAUUAUUCUUCUUUAAGCUUAUAAUUUUCCGAAACAUUAAUAAGAAUUGUGAAACUGUCUUGAGAGAAAAUAUUAUAAUCACUCAGAUUUUAAAGACAAUGUGAAGAGUUUAUAAAGCAGGAUCUGAAUUGUUUACUUGCUCUUUGUUAUGCUAUAUUUUAUACAAUGUAAGUUCUUACCCUUCUGUUGGAAUGAUGUUCUAUGCGACAUCGCUCAGGUACUGGAGGUAGAGAUGUGGCUCAUGAGGAGUAGCUUCGGAGAGUCUUAGCUUAUGUUAUUAUUAUUAUUAUUAUUAUUAUUAUUAUUAUUAUUAUUAUUAUUAUUAUUAUAAAAUAAGUGUCUUGCUCUGUAAUGUAACACUGGGUAGAUAUUUUACGUUACUUUUACACUUUUGUUGAGA